rnacentral:rRNA from 1 species
CCUACGGGUGGCAGCAGUCGAGAAUUUUUCUCAAUGGGGGAAACCCUGAAGGAGCGACGCCGCGUGGAGGAUGAAGGUCUUCGGAUUGUAAACUCCUGUCAUUGGGGAACUAGUACCCGAAGAGGAAGAGACGGCUAACUCUGUGCCAGCAGCCGCGGUAAUACAGAGGUCUCAAGCGUUGUUCGGAUUCAUUGGGCGUAAAGGGUGCGUAGGCGGCGGGGUAAGUCGGAUGUGAAAUCUCAGGGCUCAACCCUGAAACUGCAUUCGAUACUGCUCUGCUCGAGGACUCGAGAGGAGAUUGGAAUUCACGGUGUAGCAGUGAAAUGCGUAGAUAUCGUGAGGAAGACCAGUGGCGAAGGCGGAUCUCUGGAGAGUCCUGACGCUGAGGCACGAAGGCCAGGGGAGCAAACGGGAUUAGAUACCCUUGUAGUC